rnacentral:rRNA from 1 species
GACGAACGCUGGCGGCGUGCUUAACACAUGCAAGUCGAACGGGUCUGCCCUGUUUUUUGCGGGGUGGGUCAGUGGCGAACGGGUGAGUAACACGUGAGUAACCUGCCCCUCACUUCUGGAUAACCGCUUGAAAGGGUGGCUAAUACGGGGUGUUCUGGCUGUGCCGCAUGGUGUGGCUGGGAAAGAUUCACUUUUGUGGUGUUUUGGUGGGGGAUGGGCUCGCGGCCUAUCAGCUUGGUGGUGGGGUGAUGGCCUGCCAAGGCUUUGACGGGUAGCCGGCCUGGGAGGGUGGGCGGUCACACUGGGACUGAGAUACGGCCCAGACUCCUGCGGGAGGCAGCAGUGGGGGGUAUUGCACAAUGGGCGGAAGCCUGAUGCAGCGACGUCGCGUGAGGGAUGGAGGCCUUCGGGUUGUGAACCUCUAUCGCCGGUGAAGAAGGUCCUGCUCUUUGUGGUGGGGUUGACGGUAGCCGGGUUAUGAAGCGCCGGCUAACUACGUG